rnacentral:rRNA from 1 species
GCUACGGGAGGCAGCAGUGGGGAAUAUUGGGCAAUGGGCGCAAGCCUGACCCAGCAACGCCGCGUGAAGGAAGAAGGCUUUCGGGUUGUAAACGUCUUUUGUCAGGGAAGAGGAGAAGACGGUACCUGACGAAUAAGCCACGGCUAACUACGUGCCAGCAGCCGCGGUAAUACGUAGGUGGCAAGCGUGGUCCGGAUUUACUGGGGGUAAAGGGCGUGUAGCCGGGUUGAAAAGUCAGAUGUGAAAUCCGGCGGCUUAACCGCAGAACUGCAUUUGCAACUGUUGAUCUUGAGUACGGGAGCGGCAGGCGGAAUUCCUCGUGUAGCGGUGAAAUGCGUAGAUAUUAGG